UGUUAAACGCAAAGAGAAGAUGAGAGACAGAGCAGCAAGUCUUGGUAGAGGGAGUAGUUGGCGCUGGCAAGGGAAAGACUUCCUCCAGCGACUUUGUAGAGAUGAAGAAAACGACGGUGAAAAAAGAAAAGUCGAAGGAAGAAGGAGAAGAGGGUGGCGAGGAUGACAGUGACGGUCACAGAGAAGGAAGCUAAGUCUACAGAGAAAAGAAGAGGAAUGAGGCGACGGCGGUGAUAGAGUCCACGGUCGCUGUUCGAUCCGUAGAGCUACGUCCUCCGUGGGACGGUAUCACAGCUAUUUUUUCGCCGGUGGAUGUUGCGAAUGAAGAAUGAAGAGAGAUUACGAGAUGUCGACGUCGGCAAUGGUGGAGCUAGCCUCCUAUCCUCGCCAAUGACACCUAUGAAAUGAUGCAACAAAGGAGUGGAGCAAAAGAGACAAGCUUUUGGUGGUUUAAAGUCACUAUCUCAAAGCAUCAGAAGUGGCCAAGAAAAAAACAAUCAUUUUGGGACUAGAAUCUUAGCAGCAAAUUGAUGACACCGGUGAUGAAAACUGAGAGCUUUGAUAUCCUAUCUUGGGCGGUAUUACAGAGUGGUAGCAGGUAAUUAGGAGCUAAAAUCAUGUUUAGGAAAUUCACUAAAUUUUGCUGUUGUCAGUGAAUAUAGUUGUGAAUGAACUAGACAAGACCU